UUUACUUUGGAUUAUUUUACAUGACAUUUAGUUGGAGAAUUUAAAAGAGGAGUAUAAUAUUUUGAUGAAGUUCCUCUUGGACCCUUUUGAAAAACUUAAAUACUCUCACUCACGUGAUAGUAGUUUGACAGUGUUGCUGAGUUAGAAGACAAUAGAGAACAUCCAAGCUCAGUUUCAGAUUUAUUGGACCCUAUCUGUUUAUUCCAAAUUUCAAAAACCAGUUUGAGAGUCUUCACACUCCUCUCAUUGACAUCUAGUACAAAUUGCUCUUUUUCUAUAAUCUUCUUCUUCUUCUCCAUUUGUUUCAAGCUUUUUCCAUCAUCAAAAUGGCCCCCUUCCUUAUCAAUUAAUGAUGCUACCAAUUUGGAUCUAAUGGCAUCAUUUCACAAUAUCCAUUUAGAGUUUUAAUAAUGGAUACACCCCUUUUGUACAAAUCAUCUUUUUCAUUCCAUACUUCAUAUAUAUAUAUUGAUAAUGUGAAUAGAUAAAUGUCAUUCAGAGAGAUAAAUCAGAAGGAAAAAAGCUUUCUGCAGCACAUGGGCAUCAUUUCUUCAGCCACCAUUAUUGAACUUGGUUGCUUUAAGGCUUGAAUGAGAACUUUUUGAUAAGGUGGCUACAUUAUUUGAUACACUAAUGCCAGGGACAAAAGUCAACAAUGUUUCUCAAUAUCCUUGUAUCAAGAUCAUUAGAAUGUCUGGAAACCAUUGAUAACGUAAACUCUAAGCAUUAAAAAAGAGAUUAAAAGGUAGACAUCAAAACUAAUUAAAUUUAAACUUAGUUUAUUGGAUGUAUAAGUGAUUUUCAUAAGCUUAAACAAGUUUCAUUGAAGGUUUGCCCAAUCAAGAUGUACAAACUAUUGUUGAAGUAACUAAGUAGGACAUUUGGAUUAACUUUUGUACUGUCAGAAUCUAUAAUAGAUUGUUAACUGUUGUAGAAGCUUGAAAACUUAUAUAGUGUGUAAAUAGAGUGCACGCCCAUUGAGUAGUUGUUAAAGGUGUUUGUACCACUAAGUGUUGAUUGAUUGAGUAACUAAACUGAUGGGUCUCAGGAGAGAGCGUUUCCACAUAACACCGAUGAGAUCUGAAUCAACUUUUUAUGAGAUUAAUACUAUUUUUAAUUCAAAAUCUUAAAAUAAUAAAUUUAUGGAUCUUGAUCCUUAUACAGUAUUUAACUUUUUUUCAUAUCUAUUUAAUGUAAGAUUUAGAUUUAUGUUUGGAUUUCUAAUAGGAAGAAAGAAGAGAGGUGAAAAGAGAAAAUUGGCAUUAUUUUGUGGUUGAGGUGCAGGGCAAAUGUGACAAAGGGGGUCUUUGACAGGAAAGUAAAAGUGAUUCAUAUGUCUACAAUAUGAAAGACAGUGAUGGAGCUAACGUUGUUAGGGGAAGGUUGAUUGAGGGAACACCUUGUCCUCAUUUCCUACUUUUGCUUUUUCCACCCUCUUCAAAGUGUCCCAUUUUCUUCUUGCUUUGUGAGAAUGAUGUUUUAACAUCUUGAAAAGAUUCCAAAAACUGAUCCCCCCCACUUUAUACCUCUGCACUCUCCCCACAAUAAUUCACUCUUUGCUUCUUUCCAUUAUCCCUAUUUCACUUCUUACCACAUCCAAACAAUAAUUUUUCUCUCCCUUAUCCAAUUUCACCUUUUUCUUUCUUUUCCCUUUUUAAAUUAAACCAAAAAUAUUGCCUCCAAAAACUUAUUAGCACAAAAAUUUCAGAUUUUUCUCUAAUAAAAUUCUUAUGGAGAGAACUCAUCUCCAGAGCUAGCUAUCCAGAGAAGGACUAAAACCAAUUAAAUACUACACUAAAGAUCCCAUACCUGAGACUGAGCCUCUCAUAAAACUCAAAUUCCUAUAAGAAAUUAGAAAAAUGAUAUUUUGAUAUUCAUAAAUUUUUUAAAUCUAUUUCAUAUUAUCCUUUCUUACUUUUUA
rnacentral:sRNA from 1 species